UCCCUAGUGGCUCAGAGUUUAAAGCAUCUGCUUGCAAUGCAGGAGACCUAGGUUCGAUAUCUGGGUCGGGAA
rfam:Ovis aries breed Texel chromosome 1, whole genome shotgun sequence.